rnacentral:lncRNA from 1 species
GGUCCCCUGCUGAUUGGAUGGUGCCUACCCACACUGAGGAUGGAUCUUCCCCACUCAGUCCACUGACUCACAUGCAAAUCUCCUAUAGAACCACCAUCAACAGACACACCCAGAAAUAAUGCCUUACCAGUCAUCAAGAAAUGACCUGAGGCUGCUCUCUAUCAAUAGAUAACUUGAUUCAAAACUUCUUUUUUUACAUAUUCACUGGCACCUAUAAUUAUCCUAUAAAAAAUGUUGAAAUUCAAUGAAUGGGGAUAAUGAGAAAAGGAACUAAUUCCAAGGGAUAAAGUACAAUGGAUAAGUACAAUGUUGCCUCUGGUUGAGUAAUUUCUGUUUACUUACUAUUAUUAUUUUUGCUAUCUUCCUUGAAAAGAGGUCUACCAGGGUCCUUCUAAGAUUGGUUUUAAGGAUCCUAAAAUUUACUGCUUAAAAGAAGUUCACUUUUGUCCUCAUUUCCAAUGAAUGAUAUAUCUAUGCUAACAUUACUGUUUAUAAUGCUAUGUAUUGUAAUUAGGUCAAUAUCAUGAGCUAAAUUCUCCUAAAAUACUACUACUAGUAGUAGCUUUCAUUUAUUGCCAAGCAUUUAAUGUGGAUUACUUCAUUUAAACAUCAUAGUAAUGCUGUAAAGUAGGUACUAGUACUAUCACAAAUGUAUCCUCUUAAUCGUAUUACUCUGCUGCAUUGACUCCAGAAAGCACUCCAUUAUGUGAGGCUAGUAUCUUAUGGUAGUGUGUCUUGAAUGAAGGGAAUGUAGCUAUCACAGUAUAAAUCAUCAUCACUCCUGGACAAGCAAUUUAAAAUUCUUAUAGAUAUUGGUUCAGCAAUUUUUACAUAAAGAAUAACACAUCUUUUAUUUUUUUGUACCUUUAUCCCACAAAAGCAUAAUACUUGAGGUAGUUAAAGCAGCCAAGCAAAAUAUCACAGCAUCUGAAAACUCUGUGACUAGACCACAAAGCUAUCUGUAUGAGAACAAGGAGGAGCUUCCAUAAAAGAGAAAAAGCAUCUGUAACACAGUUGCUGGAUUUUCUCUUGUGACUAUAGUGCAGUCUCAGCUAAUGCAUUACUUCUGAAAUUCCAUGA